ACCCGCUUGGGUCCCCUUCCACACUGUGGAAGCUUUGUUCUUUUGCUCUUUGCAAUAAAUCUUGCUACUGCUCACUCUUUGGGUCCAUGCUGCUUUUAUGAGCUGUAACACUCACCACGAAGGCCUGCAGCUUCACUCCUGAAGCCAGCGAGACCACGAGCCCGCCGGGAGGAACGAACAACUCCAGAUGUGCCGCCUUAAGAGCUGUAACACUCACCGCAAAGGUCUGCAGCUUCACUCCUGAGCCAGCGAGACCACGAACCCACCAGAAGGAAGAAACUCCGAACACAUCCGAACAUCAGAAGGAACAAACUCCAGACGCACCACCUUAAGAGCUGUAACACUCACCGCAAGGGUCCGCAGUUUCAUUCUUGAAGUCAGUGAGACCAAGAACCCACCAAUUCCGGACACAUUUUGGCGACCCAGAUGGGACUUUCGCCUAUCACCAAGCGGUGAGACCAUCACCUAUAGCUGAGCGGUGAGACCAUCACCUAUAGCUGAGCGGCGAGACCAUCACCUAUCACCAAGCAAAUCAAGGCCAUCAAGCUACAGAUGGGCUUACAAAUGGAACCCAAAAUGAGUUCAACUAACAACUUCUACCAAGGGCCCCUGGACCGACCCACUGGCACUUCCCCUGGCCUAGAGUUCCCCUCUGAAGGACACUACAACUGCAAGGCCCCUUCUUCACCCCAUCCAGCAGGAAGUAGCUAGAGCGGUCAUCGGCCAAAUUCCCAACAGCAGUUGGGGUGUCCUGUUUAGAGGGGGGAUUGAGAGGUGACAGCAUGCUGGCAGUCCUCAGCCCUCACUCACUCUUGGCACCUCCUCUGCCCGGGCUCCCACUUUGGUGGCACUUGAGGAGCGCUUCAGCCCACCGCUGCACUGUGGGAGCCCCUUUCUGGGCUGGCCAAGGCCAGAGCCGGCUCCCUCAGCUUCCAGGGAGGUGUGGAGGGAGAGGCUCAAGCGGGAACUGGGGCUGCGUGCGGCGCUUGCGGGCCAGCUGGAGUUCCGGGCGGGCGUGGGCUUGGCGGGCCCUGCACUCAGAGCAGCCAGCCGGCCCUGCCGGCCCCGGGCAGUGAGGGGCUUAGUACCUGGGCCAGCAGCUGUGAAGGGUGUACUGGGUCCCCCAGCAGUGCCAGCCCACCGGCGCUGCACUCGAUUUCUCACCGGGCCUUAGCCGCCUUCCCAUGGGGCAGGGCUUGGGACCUGCAGCCCGCCAUGCCUGAGCCUCCCACACCCCCUCCAUGGGCUCCUGUGCGGCCCGAGCCUCCUCGACGAGCGCCACCCCCUGCUCCACGGCACCCAGUCCCAUCGACCACCCAAGGGCUGAGGAGUGCGGGCGCACGCAGGGGACUGGCAGGCAGCUCCACCUGCAGCCCCGGUGCGGGAUUCACCGGGUGAAGCCAGCUGGGCUCCUGAAUCUGACAUAAAUACACCAAUCGGCACUCUGUAUCUAGCUCAAGGUUUGUAAACACACCAGUCAGCACCCUGUGUCUAGCUCAGGGUUUGUGAGUGCACCAAUUGACACUCUGUAUCUAGCUGCUCUGGUGGGGCCGUGAAGAACCUUUAUGUCUAGCUCAGGGAUUGUAAAUACACCAAUCGGCACUCUGUAUCUAGCUCAAGGUUUGUAAACACACCAAUCAGCACCCUGUGUCUAGCUCAGGGUUUGUGAGUGCACCAAUGGACACUCUGUAUCUAUCUGCUCUGGUGGGGCCUUGGAGAACCUUUGUGUGGAUACUCUGUAUCUAAUCUGAUGGGGACGUGGAGAACCUUUGUAUCCAGCUCAGGGAUUGUAAACGCACCAAUCAGCGCCCUGUCAAAACAGACCACUGGGCUCUACCAAUCAGCAGGACGUGGGUGGGGCCAGAUAAGAGAAUGAAACCAGGCUGCCCCAGCCAGCAGUGGCAACCCGCUUGGGUCCCCUUCCACACUGUGGAAGCUUUGUUCUUUUGCUCUUUGCAAUAAAUCUUGCUACUGCUCA
rnacentral:lncRNA from 1 species